UGCCUAGGAAUCUGCCUGGUAGUGGGGGAUUACGUACGGAAACGGACGCUAAUACCGCAUACGUCCUACGGGAGAAAGCAGGGGACCUUCGGGCCUUGCGCUAUCAGCAUGAGCCUAGGUCGGAUUAGCUAGUUGGUGAGGUAAUGGCUCACCAAGGCGACGAUCCGUAACUGGUCUGAGAGGAUGAUCAGUCACACUGGAACUGAGACACGGUCCAGACUCCUACGGGAGGCAGCAGUGGGGAAUAUUGGACAAUGGGCGAAAAGCCUGAUCCAGCCAUGCCGCGUGUGUGAAGAAGGUCUUCGGAUUGUAAAGCACUUUAAGUUGGGAGGAAGGGC
rnacentral:rRNA from 1 species